GAUGAAGAACGUAGCGAAAUGCGAUAAGUAGUGUGAAUUGCAGAAUUCAGUGAAUCAUCGAAUCUUUGAACGCACAUUGCGCCCCUUGGUAUUCCAUGGGGCAUGCCUGUUCGAGCGUCAUUUGUACCUUCAAGCUCUGCUUGGUGUUGGGUGUUUGUCUCGCCUCUGCGUGUAGACUGGCCUCAAAACAAUUGGCAGCCGGCGUAUUGAUUUCGGAGCGCAGUACAUCUCGCGCUUUGCACUCAUAACGACGACGUCCAAAAGUACAUUUUUACACUCUUGACCUCGGAUCAGGUAGGGAUACCCGCUGAACUUAAGCAUAUCAAUAAGCGGAGGA
rnacentral:misc_RNA from 1 species